CUGGGCUUGACAUGUUCCUGACAACCGUGGAAACACGGUCUCCCUUCGGGGCAGGAUCACAGGUGGUGCAUGGCUGUCGUCAGCUCGUGUCGUGAGAUGUUGGGUUAAGUCCCGCAACGAGCGCAACCCCCGUCGCAUGUUGCCAGCAUUUAGUUGGGGACUCAUGCGAGACUGCCGGUGACAAACCGGAGGAAGGUGGGGAUGACGUCAAGUCAUCAUGCCCCUUAUGUCCAGGGCUACACACGUGCUACAUUGGCGCGUACAGAGGGCUGCGAUACCGCGAGGUGGAGCGAAUCCCUUAAAGCGCGUCUCGGUUCGGAUUGCAGGCUGAAACUCGCCUGCAUGAAGGCGGAGUUGCUAGUAAUCGCGGAUCAGCAUUGCCGCGGUGAAUACGUUCCC
rnacentral:rRNA from 1 species